GUUGGUGGGGUAAGGCCUACCAAGGCGACGAUCGGUAGCUGGUCUGCCAUGAUGAUCAGCCACACUGGGACUGAGACACGGCCCACCCUCCUACGGGAGGCAGCAGUGGGGAAUUUUGGACAAUGGGGGCAACCCUGAUCCAGCCAUGCCGCGUGAGUGAAGAAGGCCUUCGGGUUGUAAAGCUCUUUUGGUCGGGAAGAAAGGGUUUCCUUGAAUACGGGAGAUUCAUGACGGUACCGGCAGAAUAAGCACCGGCUAACUACGUGCCAGCAGCCGCGGUAAUACGUAGGGUGCGAGCGUUAAUCGGAAUUACUGGGCGUAAAGAGUGCGUAGGCGGUUGCUGAAGUCCGCUGUGAAAGCCCCGGGCUCAACCUGGGAAUGGCAGUGGAAACUAGGCGACUUGAAUCUAGCAGAGGGGGGUGGAAUGCCGCGUGUAGCAGUGAAAUGCGUAGAGAUGCGGCGGAACACCGAUGGCGAAGGCAGCCCCCUGGGCUGAGAUUGACGCUCAGGCACGAAAGCGUGGGGAGCAAACAGGAUUAGAUACCCUGGUAGUCCACGCCCUAAACGAUGGCAACUAGGUGUUGGGGAAGCGAUUUCCUGGUACCGCAGCUAACGCGUGAAGUUGCCCGCCUGGGGAGUACGGUCGCAAGAUUAAAACUCAAAGGAAUUGACGGGGACCCGCACAAGCGGUGGAUGAUGUGGAUUAAUUCGAUGCAACGCGAAUAACCUUACCUACCCUUGACAUGUACGGAACCCUGCAGAGAUGUGGGGGUGCUUGAAAGAGAGCCGUAACACAGGUGCUGCAUGGCU
rnacentral:rRNA from 1 species